rfam:Perkinsus marinus ATCC 50983 gcontig_1104296623772, whole genome shotgun sequence.
GCCUCGGUAGCUCAGUCGGCAUAGUGCGUGCCUCUUGAGCCCGUGGCCGCGGGUUCGAGCCCCGCCCGAGGUG